AGCGAACGCUGGCGGCAGGCUUAACACAUGCAAGUCGAACGGGCAUAGCAAUAUGUCAGUGGCAGACGGGUGAGUAACGCGUGGGAACGUACCUUUUGGUUCGGAACAACACAGGGAAACUUGUGCUAAUACCGGAUAAGCCCUUACGGGGAAAGAUUUAUCGCCGAAAGAUCGGCCCGCGUCUGAUUAGCUAGUUGGUAGGGUAAUGGCCUACCAAGGCGACGAUCAGUAGCUGGUCUGAGAGGAUGAUCAGCCACAUUGGGACUGAGACACGGCCCAAACUCCUACGGGAGGCAGCAGUGGGGAAUAUUGGACAAUGGGCGAAAGCCUGAUCCAGCCAUGCCGCGUGAGUGAUGAAGGCCAUAGGGUUGUAAAGCUCUUUUGUGCGGGAAGAUAAUGACGGUACCGAAAGAAUAAGCCCCGGCUAACUUCGUG
rnacentral:rRNA from 1 species